rnacentral:misc_RNA from 1 species
CUUUAGAAGAGUUGUUUGCGGAUCUUGAUCUGAGUGAGGAACAUGAAGACAACAUGAGGGAGUGAAUGGAAGGUGUGUUGUUCUUUUAUUUCUUUCAAUUUUGUUUCAUUUUGGGGUAUAUUUUUUUNNNNNNNNNNUAUUUUUUCCCCAGAGGAAAGAAAUUGUUAAGAAAGGAACAGAAAACAUUUUCCAUAUCCAUCCAGCUAGCAUUUUACGUCCUAGGUUGGGUAUAUUGGGUAGGUCUGCUGACCAGGUUUUAGCUGGAUGAC